UACGAAGGGGGCUAGCGUUGUUCGGAAUUACUGGGCGUAAAGCGUAUGCAGGCGGAUCGUUAAGUCGGGGGUGAAAUCCCGAGGCUCAACCUCGGAACUGCCUUCGAUACUGGCGAUCUUCGAGUCCGGGAGAGGUGAGUGGAACUCCGAGUGUAGAGGUGAAGUUCGUAGAUAUUCGGAAGAACACCAGUGGCGAAGGCGGCUCACUGGCCCGGUACUGACGCUGAGGCGCGAAAGCCAGGGGAGCAAACGGG
rnacentral:rRNA from 1 species